AGAGUUUGAUCCUGGCUCAGAACGAACGCUGGCGGAUGCUAACACAUGCAAGUCGAACGGGAUCCGAGCUUCGGUUCGGUGAGAGUGGCGAACGGGUGAGUAACGCGUGGGAACCUGCCCAGAGGUACGGAAUAACAGUUGGAAACGACUGCUAAUACCGUAUGAGCCCGAGAGGGGAAAGAUUUAUCGCCUUUGGAGGGGCCCGCGUCAGAUUAGGUAGUUGGUGGGGUAAUGGCCUACCAAGCCUACGAUCUGUAGCUGGUCUUAGAGGAUGAUCAGCCACACUGGGACUGAGAUACGGCCCAGACUCCUACGGGAAGCAGCAGUGGGGAAUAUUGGACAAUGGGGGCAACCCUGAUCCAGCAAUGCCGCGUGAGUGAUGAAGGCCUUCGGGUUGUAAAGCUCUUUUGCCAGGGACGAUGAUGACGGUACCUGGAGAAUAAGCCCCGGCUAACUUCGUGCCAGCAGCCGCGGUAAUACGAAGGGGGCUAGCGUUGUUCGGAAUUACUGGGCGUAAAGGGCGCGUAGNNGGUCUGAUAAGUUAGAUGUGAAAUUCCCGGGCUUAACCUGGGCGCUGCAUUUGAUACUGUCAGGCUUGAAUUCAGGAGAGGAUAGCGGAAUUCCCAGUGUAGAGGUGAAAUUCGUAGAUAUUGGGAAGAACACCGGUGGCGAAGGGGCUAUCUGGACUGACAUUGACGCUGAGGCGCGAAANNNNGGGGAGAAACAGGAUUAGAUACCCUAGUAGUCC
rnacentral:rRNA from 1 species